GCCGUGGUGAUGUAGUGGCAGCAUAAAGGGUUGUGGCCCCUUUAGCCCGGGUUCAAAUCCCGGCCACGGCC
rnacentral:tRNA from 1 species